rnacentral:rRNA from 1 species
UACGUAGGGUGCAAGCGUUGUCCGGAAUUAUUGGGCGUAAAGAGCUCGUAGGCGGUUUGUCGCGUCGAAUGUGAAAACCCGGGGCUCAACCCCGGGCCUGCAUUCGAUACGGGCAGACUAGAGUUCGGUAGGGGAGUCUGGAAUUCCUGGUGUAGCGGUGAAAUGCGCAGAUAUCAGGAGGAACACCGGUGGCGAAGGCGGGACUCUGGGCCGAUACUGACGCUGAGGAGCGAAAGCGUGGGGAGCGAACAGA